ensembl:snRNA U6 U6 spliceosomal RNA
GCACUCACUUCGGCAGCACACGUACUGAAACUGGAACGACACAGAGAAGAUGAGCGUGGCCCCCGUGCAAGGAUGACAUGCACAUUCAUGAAGAAUUCCACCAUUUU